UAGCAUAUCAAUAAGCGGAGGAAAAGAAACCAACAGGGAUUGCCUUAGUAACGGCGAGUGAAGCGGCAACAGCUCAAAUUUGAAAAGCUGGCCCUUUUAGGGUCCGCAUUGUAAUUUGUAGAGGAUGAUUCGGCGAGGGCUCCUGCCUAAGUCCCCUGGAACGGGGCGUCAUAGAGGGUGAGAAUCCCGUAUGCGGUAGGUUGCCUUAGCCAUGUGAAUCUCCUUCGACGAGUCGAGUUGUUUGGGAAUGCAGCUCUAAAUGGGAGGUAAAUUUCUUCUAAAGCUAAAUACCGGCCAGAGACCGAUAGCGCACAAGUAGAGUGAUCGAAAGAUGAAAAGCACUUUGGAAAGAGAGUUAAAAAGUACGUGAAAUUGUUGAAAGGGAAGCGCUUGCAACCAGACUUGUCCGCAGUUGCUCAGCCGGUCUCCUGACCGGCGUACUCUUCUGCGGCCAGGCCAGCAUCAGUUCGGGCGGUCGGAUAAAGGCCUCGGGAAUGUGGCUCCUCUCGGGGAGUGUUAUAGCCCGGGGUGCAAUGCGGCCAGCCUGGACUGAGGAACUCGCUUCGGCAAGGAUGCUGGCGUAAUGGUUGUAAGCGGCCCGUCUUGAAACACGGACCAAGGAGUCUAACAUCUAUGCGAGUGUUCGGGUGUCAAACCCGUACGCGUAAUGAAAGUGAACGGAGGUGGGAACCCGCAAGGGUGCACCAUCGGCCGAUCCUGAUGUCUUCGGAUGGAUUUGAGCAAGAGCAUAGCUGUUGGGACCCGAAAGAUGGUGAACUAUGCCUGAAUAGGGUGAAGCCAGAGGAAACUCUGGUGGAGGCUCGCAGCGGUUUCUGACGUGCAAAUCGAUCGUCAAAUUUGGGUAUAGGGGCGAAAGACUAAUC
rnacentral:rRNA from 1 species